UUUGAAAAUAGCGUCGAUUUUGUUAUGAGGUUGCAGCAUCUUUUCUACUUAUUUUCGGCCCUGUAACACUCGGUAUGGAAAGUAGAGAGACUUAAAACGUUCCAUAUUUACGAGGUCAAACUGCAGAACUGUGAUAAUGCCAGGAAAUGUAGGAAACUACCAGUGGAUGCUUUGGGUUGCUGACACUGUACGGAGAACGGUUAGACACGUUGAUGAUUCAUUGGAUAGCUCAAACCCACAAAGAAAAAAGACAAUGCUGGCAAACAAGAGGAGGGCAUUUAUACGUGGAAAGUCGCUUAGAAAGGGGACGUGGUGCAUGGAGGAUGUGGGGAGGCAGACACAGAAGGAUACAUCAUCAUGUGGGAUAUUUAUUU